AAGGCCCUGCUUGCAGGGUACUCGAGUGGCGAACGGGUGAGUAACACGUGGGUGAUCUGCCCUGCACUUCGGGAUAAGCCUGGGAAACUGGGUCUAAUACCGGAUAGGAGCCAUUUUUAGUGUGAUGGUUGGAAAGUUUUUUCGGUGUAGGAUGAGCUCGCGGCCUAUCAGCUUGUUGGUGGGGUAAUGGCCUACCAAGGCGGCGACGGGUAGCCGGCCUGAGAGGGUGGACGGCCACAUUGGGACUGAGAUACGGCCCAGACUCCUACGGGAGGCAGCAGUGGGGAAUAUUGCACAAUGGGCGCAAGCCUGAUGCAGCGACGCCGCGUGGGGGAUGACGGCCUUCGGGUUGUAAACUCCUUUCGCUAGGGACGAAGCUUUUUGUGACGGUACCUAGAUAAGAAGCACCGGCUAACUACGUGCCAGCAGCCGCGGUAAUACGUAGGGUGCGAGCGUUGUCCGGAAUUACUGGGCGUAAAGGGCUCGUAGGUGGUUUGUCGCGUCGUCUGUGAAAUUCCGGGGCUUAACUCCGGGCGUGCAGGCGAUACGGGCAUAACUUGAGUACUGUAGGGGUAACUGGAAUUCCUGGUGUAGCGGUGAAAUGCGCAGAUAUCAGGAGGAACACCGAUGGCGAAGGCAGGUUACUGGGCAGUUACUGACGCUGAGGAGCGAAAGCAUGGGUAGCGAACAGGAUUAGAUACCCUGGUAGUCCAUG
rnacentral:rRNA from 1 species